GCUUCACAUACGGGCAGUAAACAUUCUGAUAGAUUUUUGCUGAUCUGGUUUGUUUGCCACAGUGAAAGUUAUGCUUUGAAGUACAUUUGACUAUUUCUUCACUUCUUAUUCCAGAGAAAUGUUCAGUAAUAAAUAACUGAGCUUGGUCCCUGACUCUUCAUUCUCUGGGUGAUUUUGAUUCCUGACAACAUGGGGAUGAGGUGUCUUGAAUUAGUUCUUCUGCUUUGGGUUCCUGGACUGCUGCAAGCUCAAGGUCCACAGCCUUGCAGCGCUCCAAGCCUGGAUGCAGGUUUUCUUCUCUCGGUGCAGGAAUCAUAUCCUCAUGGAACAAAGAUCAGUUAUUCCUGCAAUGAUGGAUACAAAGCAGGAGGAAGAGGCUGGUGGGGAACAAGCACAUGUUUCAAUGGUUUAUGGUUUGGUAUCCCAGUCUGUAUUAUAAAUCCUCCUACCUGCCGCGAGCCUCCAAGAAUAUCCAAUGCCGCCAUAAUUAAUCAGGAUUUUCAGGACGUAUUUACUCAAGACACAGAAGUGGUGUAUCAGUGUAAGGAUGGAUAUACAACAAAGGAAGGAGCCACCAAGAAAUCUGUCUUCUGUAGAGCUGGAGUUUGGACAGACGUCCCAACAUGUGGUAGGUGGAGAACUUUCAGACAUAUACAGAACCUGCCAAGAAUAUUUAUAAUCCAAAUAUUUUAACAUUUUGUCCAGUUAAAAUCACAAACUACAAUGUGUUUUUGUUUCCUAACCAAGACAAUGUAGUGUGUAACUGUUAUGUAGAUGGAAAAGGAGACAAUGUCUUUAAACCUCUUAAAAAUUCCUACAUAUACUGUAUAUAUAUAUAUGUACAUGUAUGUCAGUGACGUGCGGUCAGGGG